rnacentral:lncRNA from 1 species
GCAAAGCCAUACUCAAUCCCAUCUCAACAUCGGCCAUGGUCAGCCAUCAACAGCGGUCUCCGCGGUGUCUCGAGUCACCACACCGGCACCAGCAGUCACACCCCCAUCCAUUGUUGCCCAUGACACAUAAAAGACGGCGACAACAGCAAUAAUUAACGAUGACGGCAGCUGAUGUGAGUUCAUCGUCAUGUAAUAUCAUCUCCUUUACCUCUUCGAUCUUUUUAUGUGUGUAGCUGUAGAUUCUGGUGGCAAACCGCGGUGGCGCUUGGGAUUGUUAGAGUAUGCGCGAUGGUAGAUUUGGUUGGUUGCAUGAAAGAUCAUGGAGGAGCAUGGUUGAAGCAGCAGCAACGACGACGACCAUCGUGACAGAAACCACAGCCACAAGUAUCAAUGAAAGCCACCAACGACAACAACAUCGUCGGCAACAGUAUCGAAAAGUAUUAGCUUGAUUUCUUAUUAAAUCACAACAAAAUGGGUUUGCUGGGCUUUUCGACAUUGACGAUGGAUCAGGCAGUUCUUGGCGUGUCGUCACCUUCUAAAAGUCUAUUCGGUAAUAAGAAAAGAACUGCGUUCUUUAAAAAAUUUAUUUUUUAAAAAAUAUUUUUUUUAUUUUUAUAUAUUAAUGUUAAAAAUAUUUUACAAAAAAUAAAAAAAAAUUAUUUUAAUGCAUUUCCUAACAAAAAAUACUUUAAACCAUAAUCGCUAUCACAAUCUCACACAUACCCUAAAUAAAUUCCAAGGUAUAUUUAGAACACUAAGUCCAUUAAUAUAUUAAUUUAAAAUUAUAAUUAAUGGUAGUUAUUUUUAAUAAUUAAUAAAUUUUAUUGAUUUAAUCAUUUAAAUUUUAAUAAUGAUACAUAAAAUUUAAAUGAUUAGCAAUAAUAUAAUUAAUAGGCUAAUAUUUAUUAUUAAAUUAAUUUAAUAUAUUUAAAUAUUUUAAAUAUAUUUGGUAAUUGAUAUUUUUAUUGAGUAUAAAUAUAAAUGGCAUGUAUUUAUGAUGGAAUGUAUACAAACAGUGAAGCACCUGCGUUUCUUACUCGAUUUUUUUACUAUAUAGUAUAAUAAUAGAAGAAAAGUAACCUGCAUAUAGACAAAUAAUUUCCAUGUCAGCAAUUUACAAGCAGAUUUCAACAAGUGUCCAACAAACAUAGGACACCACCAAGCAACCUCCCAAGUCCACAAACGCAUGCCUAUCGCAUAGUUCUUCAAGUUGAAGCCGCUGGGCUCCAAUGAAAACAUGUGCCAAUUCAUUAAAGCAAUAAAAUGGUGAGCAGAGGGUAGCCCACAGGAUGUUUCAUAAAAGAGCAGAAUCAAGAUGUAGCAGAACUCAAUGAGAGAACUGCGCAAGAUGGCAUGAUAGAAGCAUACUACUAGCCGUGUCAGCAUAUAUAUAUAUAUAUAUAUAUAUAUAUAAAAUUGAUGUUUGGACUAGCCUGUAUAUAUUUUAAUUAAUUUUACGGGUUUUAAAAUUAAUAACUAUUUAAGUUUUUAAUGACUUUAAAAAUCAAACUAAUAAUUGUUUUAAAGCAAAUUUAAAAUUUGAUCGGCUACUGAUUGGUUGGCAGGUUUUUUUCUCUUAAUUGAUGAAGUGUAACGUUUCUAGUGGUUGUUAUUGAUUUAGCUUUUAAUUCAUUGCAGGGUGUAUUGUACUGGAUCUUCUGUAGUAGUGUAAUAGUUGGGCACUCUCCUAUUGGUCUAACUAAUGACCAUUUUAAGGAGCAAUAGUUUCCAAGAAAG